GGUGGCCUAGUAGUUAGAGCGGCCGCCUCGGAUGCGGGAGGUCGUGGGUUCGAUCCACAAUGAGAGCCA